rnacentral:rRNA from 1 species
GGCCAAGUUUUUAAGGGCGCACGGUGGAUGCCUUGGCACCAGGAACCGAUGAAGGACGUGGGAGGCCACGAUAGUCCCCGGGGAGUCGUCAACCAGGCUUUGAUCCGGGGGUUUCCGAAUGGGGAAACCCGGCAGUCGUCAUGGGCUGUCACCCGCUGCUGAACACAUAGGCAGUGUGGAGGGAACGCGGGGAAGUGAAACAUCUCAGUACCCGCAGGAAGAGAAAACAACCGUGAUUCCGGGAGUAGUGGCGAGCGAAACUGGAUGAGGCCAAACCGUAUACGUGUGAGACCCGGCAGGGGUUGCGUGUGCGGGGUUGUGGGAUCUCUCUUCUACGGUCUGCCGGCCGUAGGGCGAGUCAGAAACCGUUGAUGUAGGCGAAGGACAUGCGAAAGGUCCGGCGUAGAGGGUAAGACCCCCGUAGUCGAAACGUCAGCGGCUUGCUUGAGAGACACCCAAGUAGCACGGGGCCCGAGAAAUCCCGUGUGAAUCUGGCGGGACCACCCGCUAAGCCUAAAUAUUCCCUGGUGACCGAUAGCGGAUAGUACCGUGAGGGAAUGGUGAAAAGUACCGCGGGAGCGGAGUGAAAUAGUACCUGAAACCGUGUGCCUACAAGCCGUGGGAGCGUCGGACAUCAAGCUUGCUUGGUGUCUCGUGACUGCGUGCCUUUUGAAGAAUGAGCCUGCGAGUUUGCGGUGUGUUGCGAGGUUAACCCGGGUGGGGUAGCCGUAGCGAAAGCGAGUCCGAACAGGGCGAUUUUAGUAGCACGCUCAAGACCCGAAGCGGAGUGAUCUAGCCAUGGGCAGGUUGAAGCGGAGGUAAGACUUCGUGGAGGACCGAACCCACCAGGGUUGAAAACCUGGGGGAUGACCUGUGGUUAGGGGUGAAAGGCCAAUCAAACUCCGUGAUAGCUGGUUCUCCCCGAAAUGCAUUUAGGUGCAGCGUCGUGUGUUUCUUGCCGGAGGUAGAGCACUGGAUAGGCGAUGGGCCCUACCGGGUUACUGACCUUAGCCAAACUCCGAAUGCCGGUAAGUGAGAGCGCGGCAGUGAGACUGUGGGGGAUAAGCUCCAUGGUCGAGAGGGAAACAGCCCAGAGCAUCGACUAAGGCCCCUAAGCGUACGCUAAGUGGGAAAGGAUGUGGAGUCGCACAGACAACCAGGAGGUUGGCUUAGAAGCAGCCACCCUUGAAAGAGUGCGUAAUAGCUCACUGGUCUAGUGAUUCCGCGCCGACAAUGUAGCGGGGCUCAAGCGUACCGCCGAAGUCGUGUCAUUGCAGCAAUACGGCCAACGCCGGCUGUGAUGGGUAGGGGAGCGUCGUGUGCCGGGUGAAGCAGCGCCGGAAGGCAGUUGUGGACGGUUCACGAGUGAGAAUGCAGGCAUGAGUAGCGAUACAAACGUGAGAAACGUUUGCGCCGAUUGACUAAGGGUUCCUGGGUCAAGCUGAUCUGCCCAGGGUAAGUCGGGACCUAAGGCGAGGCCGACAGGCGUAGUCGAUGGAUAACCGGUUGAUAUUCCGGUACCCGCUGUGAAGCGUCAAACAUCGAGCAUCGUGAUGCUAAGGCCGUGAAGCCGCCCUGAUCUCUUCGGAGUUGAGGGGAGUGGUGGAGCCGCUGAACCAAGCGGUUAGUAGGUGAGUGAUGGGGUGACGCAGGAAGGUAGUCCAUCCCGGGCGGUGGUUGUCCCGGGGUAAGGGUGUAGCCCGUCAUCUAGGUAAAUCCGGAUGACAUGAGGGUGAGACCUGAUGCCGAGCCGAUUGUGGUGAAGUGGAUGAUCCUAUGCUGUCGAGAAAAGCCUCUAGCGAGUUUCAUGGCGGCCCGUACCCUAAACCGACUCAGGUGGUCAGGUAGAGAAUACCGAGGCGUUCGGGUGAACUAUGGUUAAGGAACUCGGCAAAAUGCCCCCGUAACUUCGGGAGAAGGGGGGCCACGUCUGGUGAUCGGAUUUACUCCGUGAGCUGGGGGUGGCCGCAGAGACCAGCGAGAAGCGACUGUUUACUAAAAACACAGGUCCGUGCGAAGCCGUAAGGCGAUGUAUACGGACUGACGCCUGCCCGGUGCUGGAACGUUAAGGGGACCGGUUAGCUUGGAUUCGUCCAGGCGAAGCUGAGAACUUAAGCGCCAGUAAACGGCGGUGGUAACUAUAACCAUCCUAAGGUAGCGAAAUUCCUUGUCGGGUAAGUUCCGACCUGCACGAAUGGCGUAACGACUUCUCGACUGUCUCAACCAUAGGCCCGGUGAAAUUGCACUACGAGUAAAGAUGCUCGUUUCGCGCAGCAGGACGGAAAGACCCCGGGACCUUUACUACAGUUUGAUAUUGGUGUUCGGUUCGGCUUGUGUAGGAUAGCUGGGAGACUUUGAAGCUCGCACGCCAGUGUGGGUGGAGUCGUCGUUGAAAUACCAGUCUGGUCGUGCUGGAUGUCUAACCUGGGUCCGUGAUCCGGAUCAGGGACAGUGUCUGAUGGGUAGUUUAACUGGGGCGGUUGCCUCCUAAAGAGUAACGGAGGCGCCCAAAGGUUCCCUCAGCCUGGUUGGCAAUCAGGUGUUGAGUGUAAGUGCACAAGGGAGCUUGACUGUGAGACCGACGGGUCGAGCAGGGACGAAAGUCGGGACUAGUGAUCCGGCGGUGGCUUGUGGAAGCGCCGUCGCUCAACGGAUAAAAGGUACCCCGGGGAUAACAGGCUGAUCUUCCCCAAGAGUCCAUAUCGACGGGAUGGUUUGGCACCUCGAUGUCGGCUCGUCGCAUCCUGGGGCUGGAGUCGGUCCCAAGGGUUGGGCUGUUCGCCCAUUAAAGCGGUACGCGAGCUGGGUUUAGAACGUCGUGAGACAGUUCGGUCCCUAUCCGCUGUGCGCGUAGGAGUCUUGAGAAGGGCUGUCCCUAGUACGAGAGGACCGGGACGGACGAACCUCUGGUGUGCCAGUUGUUCUGCCAAGGGCAUGGCUGGUUGGCUACGUUCGGGAGGGAUAACCGCUGAAAGCAUCUAAGCGGGAAGCCUGCUUCGAGAUGAGGACUCCCACCCACUUGAUGGGGUAAGGCUCCCAGUAGACGACUGGGUUGAUAGGCCAGAUAUGGAAGCCGGGUAACCGGUGGAGUUGACUGGUACUAAUAGGCCGAGGGCUUGUCCUC